rnacentral:lncRNA from 1 species
UAACAUAAGGAUGCUGUAAAACAAUUAGGAUCGCUGAGCCUCACAUUCGUAAGGGGGGGCUGCAAAGUCCUGUUUAAUAUGACUUUGAGAGUGGACAUUCGUCCUGUUCCUACUGUUGUUCUAGUCUAGUCUAACUUUACUUCUAUCUCUCUCUCUCUCGUUUGACAAAACACAUUAGCUGUACCAUAUAAGACAAUCUAUACAU